UGACUGCAUAUUUGAGUGUAUGAUUCAGAGUUCUAGCACAUCAAAUUACUCUCUUUAAUUAAAUCUUAGAAAAAACAGGAAAAAAGGAGAAAGCUCAUGAGAAGACAUCUGUCCCUGAAAUUAAAAAAGCAGAUAAAAAAGAAGCUGCUGUAUCCAAAGAACUCAAAAAGCCAGCAAAAGCUCCUGCAGCCAACCCAGCCAUCAAAAAAACAGCAGCACCAGAUCCACAGAAAAAAGAAAAAAUAAUGGAAUCUGGUG
ensembl:lncRNA